GAUGAACGCUGGCGGCGUGCCUAACACAUGCAAGUCGAGCGAUUCUCUUCGGAGAAGAGCGGCGGACGGGUGAGUAACGCGUGGGUAACCUGCCCUGUACACACGGAUAACAUACCGAAAGGUAUGCUAAUACGAGAUAAUAUACUUUUAUCGCAUGGUAGAAGUAUCAAAGCUUUUGCGGUACAGGAUGGACCCGCGUCUGAUUAGCUAGUUGGUAAGGUAACGGCUUACCAAGGCGACGAUCAGUAGCCGACCUGAGAGGGUGAUCGGCCACAUUGGAACUGAGACACGGUCCAAACUCCUACGGGAGGCAGCAGUGGGGAAUAUUGCACAAUGGGCGAAAGCCUGAUGCAGCAACGCCGCGUGAGCGAUGAAGGCCUUCGGGUCGUAAAGCUCUGUCCUCAAGGAAGAUAAUGACGGUACUUGAGGAGGAAGCCCCGGCUAACUACGUGCCAGCCGCCGCCGUAA
rnacentral:rRNA from 1 species